rnacentral:rRNA from 1 species
UCUUUUAAUUGAAGGCUUGUAUGAAUGGUUGGACGAGAUAUUAACUGUCUCAAUUUAAUAAUUAAAAUUUUAUUUUUUAGUCAAAAGCUAAAAUUUAAUUAAAAGACGAGAAGACCCUAUAGAUCUUUAUAUUAUUUUAUAUUGAUUUUAUAAAGAAUAAUUUAAAUUUAAUUUAAAAUAAUAUUUUAUUGGGGUGAUAAUAAAAUUUAACUAACUUUUAUAUAAUAUUACACUGAUUAGUGAUUUAUUGAUCCAUUAAUAAUGAUUAUUAGAUUAAGUUACCUUAGGGAUAACAGCGUAAUUUAUUUAGAGAGUUCAUAUCGAUAAAUAAUAUUGC